rnacentral:rRNA from 1 species
UACGUAGGUGGCGAGCGUUGUCCGGAUUUAUUGGGCGUAAAGCGCGCGCAGGUGGUGCGGUAAGUCUGUCGUGAAAUCUCCCGGCUCAACUGGGAGGGUGCGGUGGAGACUGCCGGACUGGAGGCACUCAGAGGCCGGUGGAAUUCCCGGUGUAGUGGUGAAAUGCGUAGAGAUCGGGAGGAACACCUGUGGCGAAGGCGGCCCCCUGGUUGGAUACUGACGCUGAUACGCGAAAGCGUGGGGAGCAAACAGGG